UUAAGUUCAGCGGGUAGUCCUACCUGAUUUGAGAUCAAAAGUUCAGGGCGUCGUCCUCUGGUGAAGACAGUUAUAAGCUAGAGCGUCUCCGACGUUCGUCGCUCAGGACGGCACAAAUCGGCGUAGAUGUUUAUCACACCGGUCAAGCCAUCGAGAUCAACUCAAAGCUAAUGAUUUCAAGAGGAGCCGGCGAACACCAG
rnacentral:misc_RNA from 1 species